rnacentral:rRNA from 1 species
GAUGAACGCUGGCGGCGUGCUUAACACAUGCAAGUCGAACGAUGAAGCUCAGCUUGCUGGGUGGAUUAGUGGCGAACGGGUGAGUAACACGUGAGUAACCUGCCCUUAACUCUGGGAUAAGCCUGGGAAACUAGGUCUAAUACCGGAUAGGAGCGUCCACCGCAUGGUGGGUGUUGGAAAGAUUUAUCGGUUUUGGAUGGACUCGCGGCCUAUCAGCUUGUUGGUGAGGUUAUGGCUCACCAAGGCGACGACGGGUAGCCGGCCUGAGAGGGUGACCGGCCACACUGGGACUGAGAAACGGCCCAGACUCCUACGGGAGGCAGCAGUGGGGAAUAUUGCACAAUGGGCGAAAGCCUGAUGCAGCGACGCCGCGUGAGGGAUGACGGCCUUCGGGUUGUAACCCUCUUUCAGUAGGGAAGAAGCGAAAGUGACGGUACCUGCAGAAGAAGCACCGGCUAACUACGUG